AUACGGGCGAGAGACCGAUAG
rnacentral:snRNA from 1 species